rnacentral:rRNA from 1 species
AUUGAGCGCUGGCGGCAGGCCUAACACAUGCAAGUCGAGCGGUAGAGAGGUGCUUGCAUCUCUUGAGAGCGGCGGACGGGUGAGUAAUGCCUAGGAAUCUGCCUAGUGGUGGGGGAUAACGUUCGGAAACGGACGCUAAUACCGCAUACGUCCUACGGGAGAAAGCGGGGGAUCUUCGGACCUCGCGCCAUUAGAUGAGCCUAGGUCGGAUUAGCUAGUUGGUGAGGUAAUGGCUCACCAAGGCGACGAUCCGUAACUGGUCUGAGAGGAUGAUCAGUCACACUGGAACUGAGACACGGUCCAGACUCCUACGGGAGGCAGCAGUGGGGAAUAUUGGACAAUGGGCGAAAGGACCUGAUCCAGCCAUGCCGCGUGCAGGAUGAAGGCC